GAUGAACGCUGGCGGCGUGCCUAAUACAUGCAAGUCGAGCGAACAGAUAAGGAGCUUGCUCCUUUGACGUUAGCGGCGGACGGGUGAGUAACACGUGGGUAACCUACCUAUAAGACUGGAAUAACUCCGGGAAACCGGGGCUAAUGCCGGAUAACAUUUAGAACCGCAUGGUUCUAAAGUGAAAGAUGGUUUUACUAUCACUUAUAGAUGGACCCGCGCCGUAUUAGCUAGUUGGUAAGGUAACGGCUUACCAAGGCAACGAUACGUAGCCGACCUGAGAGAGUGAUCGGCCACACUGGAACUGAGACACGGUCCAGACUCCUACGGGAGGCAGCAGUAGGGAAUCUUCCGCAAUGGGCGAAAGCCUGACGGAGCAACGCCGCGUGAGUGAUGAAGGUCUUCGGAUCGUAAAACUCUGUUAUUAGGGAAGAACAAAUGUGUAAGUAACUGUGCACGUCUUGACGGUACCUAAUCAGAAAGCCACGGCUAACUACGUG
rnacentral:rRNA from 1 species